rnacentral:tRNA from 1 species
GUCGUCGUGGCCGAGUGGUUAAGGCGACAGACUAGAAAUCUGUUGGGCUCUGCCCGCACAGAUUCGAAUCCUGUCGGCGACU